ACCAGAUUGCUCUACGUGCGGAAU
rnacentral:piRNA from 1 species